UAUCUCUCCGUACGGGGAAGGAUGAGAAGCUUCGACUAAGGUUCGAUUCGAGCGCAGCGAGAAAGCGUUGCCGCAGGCAACGACCCG
rnacentral:sRNA from 4 species